rnacentral:rRNA from 1 species
UACGUAGGGUGCGAGCGUUAAUCGGAAUUACUGGGCGUAAAGCGUGCGCAGGCGGUCUGUUAAGACCGAUGUGAAAUCCCCGGGCUUAACCUGGGAAUGGCAUUUGGGACUGCAAGGCUUGAGUGCGGCAGAGGAGACUGGAAUUCCUGGUGUAGCAGUGAAAUGCGUAGAUAUCAGGAGGAACACCGAUGGCGAAGGCAGGUCUCUGGGCUGACACUGACGCUCAUGCACGAAAGCGUGGGGAGCAAACAGG